GUCCUAUUGUAUUAUUUAAUAGGUCUGGCCUGCCCAGUGAUAACUUUAACGGCCGCGGUAUAUUGACCGUGCAAAGGUAGCAUAAUCAUUAGUCUUUUAAUAGGAGGCUGGAAUGAAAGGUUUAACGAGAAAUUAACUGUCUCAAUUGCAAUCUUGAAUUUAUCUUUUGAGUCAAAAGACUUAAAUAUAAUUGGUGGACGAGAAGACCCUAUAGAGCUUUACAAUUAUUUUUUUAUAUUUACUCAGACAUAUUAUUUAUUUGUAUUAAAAAAAUUGUUUUGUUGGGGUGACAAUAAAUAUAUAUUUAACUUUUAUCAUAAUAUUAACAUUAAUUUAUGAUUUUUGGGUCCAAAAAUUUUGAUCAUUAGACUAAGUUACC
rnacentral:rRNA from 1 species